rnacentral:rRNA from 1 species
ACGGAAUAGAUACCCUGGUAGUCCCAGCCGUAAACGAUGCUCGCUAGGUGUCAGGCAUGGCGCGACCGUGUCUGGUGCCGCAGGGGAAGCCGUGAAGCGAGCCACCUGGGGAAGUACGGCCGCAAGGCUGAAACUUAAAGGAAUUGGCGGGGGAGCACAACAACGGGUGGAGCCUGCGGUUUAAUUGGACUCAACGCCGGACAACUCACCGGGGACGACAGCAAAAUGUAGGCCAGGCUGAAGACCUUGCCUGAAUCGCUGAGAGGAGGUGCAUGGCCGUCGCCAGUUCGUACUGUGAAGCAUCCUGUUAAGUCAGGCAACGAGCGAGACCCGUGCCCACUGUUACCAGCAUGUCCUCCGGGAUGAUGGGUACACUGUGGGGACCGCCGGUGUUAAAUCGGAGGAAGGUGCGGGCUACGGUAGGUCAGUAUGCCCCGGAAUUUCCCGGGGCUACACGCGGGCUACAAUGAAUGGGACAAUGGGCCCUCCCUGAAAAGGGUCUGGUAAUCUCACAAACCCGAUCCUUAGUUCGGAUCGAGGGCUGUAACUCG